rnacentral:rRNA from 1 species
UACGAGGGGGGCAAGCGUUGUUCGGAAUCACUGGGCGUAAAGCGCGUGUAGGCGGUCCGCUAAGUCUGAUGUGAAAGUCCGGGGCUCACCCCCGGAAGUGCAUUGGAAACUGACGGACUCGAGUCCCGGAGAGGAGAGUGGAAUUCCUGGUGUAGCGGUGAAAUGCGUAGAUAUCAGGAGGAACACCGGUGGAAGGCGGCUCUCUGGACGGUGACUGACGCUGAGACGCGAAAGCGUGGGGAGCAAACAGG